rnacentral:lncRNA from 1 species
CCGUAUAAAUCAAGGGUAAACCACUAAUAUAUAAUACUCAGUUGCGAGAUUGCCAUGCAAUAACUAGCACUUGGCUAUGAACAAUUGGGUACACUACCAGCAGUAUAUUGGAUAAGUAUUAUCCCUUAGUUGGUUUCUCAACCUCUGACUCACACAGAAAUAUAUAUAUAUAUUAUCAUCAUCCUUUACCGUCCAUUCUCCAAACUGGUAUGGGCUGGACGUUUUUACCAGAGCUGGGAAGCUGUACCAAAAUCCAGUCUGAUUUGGCUUUGGUUUCUACAACUGGAUGCCCUUCCUAACACCAACCACUUUACAGGGUGUGCUGAGUGCUUUUAAUAUGUCACCAGCAUGAACACUUUUUGUGUGGCUCUGGCACAGAAUUCUUACAGGCCAAUCCUCUUCCCCAUUGAAUGCAGGCUCAACACUUCUUCUGUGGAGGACAGACUGAUUCAACACUGGGUUACUGAAACAGAAUUUUCUAAAAGUUUCGAGAAUUUCUAGAACAUUCUGGUGACAUAGAUGGCAGCAUAAAUAUGGGGAUCAUAAGCUUAACACUUCAGUUUACUUCUUCCUGUCCAAGUGGAGACAAGAUGUCAUUGAUAGUUGCAUUCAUCACAUGGCAUCAAGAGGUUGUAAGCAUCUGGCAGACAUAUUUUGCUGUCUGUGGAAAAUUUAUCAAGACAAGAGUGAAAAAGUACUCUCUGGUAACAUCUACUAAAAUGUGUGAGGCCUACAAGACAUAUUUUGGUAUAUCUGUCAGGGAUCAAGACAAACCCCUAGUCACCCCCAUUUCACCUGCGAACUCUGCAAAUGAACUCUAGAAGGAUGGCACAGAGGGGAAAAUAGAGCCAUGACAUUCACAAUCCCAUGAAUUUGGAGGGAACCAACUGACCACUUAAACAAUUGUUUCUUCUCCAUGGUGGACCCUUCCAAAUGUCGAGCUGGCAAGAAUGCUUCUAUAUAUCCAAACAUUCUGUUAUCCAUCUCCUCAGUGCCACGCUGCCCUGAGCACCCACUCCUCCAAAGAGAGAACAGUACAUAAGAGGAUGAAGUAAUUGGUCCAGAUUACAGAGGUGCAGCUGAGGAGAGAAAUCCAUACUACCCCAACUAAGAAGACCUCAAUGACCUGAUCUUGGUCUCUCAAAAUGCAUCACCAGUAUAGGGCUUUCCUAUAAGUAGGUUAUCUCCCUUGGCUAGG